rnacentral:lncRNA from 1 species
UUUUGCUUUAAUUUAAUUUUAUAAUGUUUGUUGAGUUGGGCUUUAUGUUGUUUCUAAUUUAGUGAUGCAUAUUAAUAAUUUUAAUUAUGCUAGAUAUUUUUGUUAGUGUUAGGCAUCUAAUAUUUUCUUUCAUUUUAAUGAUUUUGUGUUUUAAUUUAUUCUUAUGCAUUCACAAUCCUUUCACAAACCCUCCCCCCCACACUGUGUUAGACCUGAUUCUGAACCGCAGUUGGUCUUUAAGAGACGACCUAGGAGUCAUUUCCUAGCAUUAUACUGCAUUUCUAAAUUGCAAUCAAAUUUGUAUGGGCCGCGACAACCCAUCAAAUAUUGGCGCCGUUGCCGGGGACCAACGGUUCGGUUUUAGGUCUUUUGUUGUGUUAGUGUGUGUUGUGUUUUGUCUUGUGUUGUGAGUGUGUCGUUCUGUUCUAUGUGUGAUGUUAUGUGUUUUUGCAUUUAGGUAGCUUCAGUUGCAUAUUUUCAUUACAUCCUUCUUUCCCCCCUUCUUUCCCAUGUCUACCUAUUUUGGCUAUGUGAGUAAUUCUCAUUCUGCUUGUGUUUAUGAUUCUCCUCC